rnacentral:rRNA from 1 species
AGGGUUUGAUCAUGGCUCAGAACGUACGCUGGCGGCACGCCUAACACAUGCAAGUCGAACGAAGUAGCAAUACUUAGUGGCAGACGGGUGAGUAACAUGUAGGUAUCUACCCUUUGGCCUGGAAUAACACGAGGAAACUUGUGCUAAUACUGGAUAAGUCUUUACGGAGAAAGCUUUAUGCACCAUUGGAUGAGCCUGCACUUGAUUAGUUUGUUGGUGGGGUAAUGGCCUACCAAGACUGUGAUCAAUAGCUGAUUUGAGAGGAUGAUCAGCCACAUUGGGACUGAGACACGGCCCAAACUCCUACGGGAGGCAGCAGUGGGGAAUCUUGCACAAUGGAGGAAACUCUGAUGCAGCGAUGCCGCGUGAGUGAAGAAGGCCCUUGGGUUGUAAAGCUCUUUCGUCGGGGAAGAAAAUGACUGUACCCGAAUAAGAAGGUCCGGCUAACUUCGUGCCAGCAGCCGCGGUAAUACGAAGGGACCUAGCGUAGUUCGGAAUUACUGGGCUUAAAGAGUUCGUAGGUGGUUGAAAAAGUUAGUGGUGAAAUCCCAGAGCUUAACUCUGGAACUGCCAUUAAAACUUUUCAGCUAGAGUAUGAUAGAGGAAAGCAGAAUUUCUAGUGUAGAGGUGAAAUUCGUAGAUAUUAGAAAGAAUACCAAUUGCGAAGGCAGCUUUCUGGAUCAUUACUGACACUGAGGAACGAAAGCAUGGGUAGCGAAGAGGAUUAGAUACCCUCGUAGUCCAUGCCGUAAACGAUGUGUGUUAGACGUUGGAAAUUUAUUUUCAGUGUCGCAGCGAAAGCGAUAAACACACCGCCUGGGGAGUACGACCGCAAGGUUAAAACUCAAAUGAAUUGACGGGGACCCGCACAAGUAGUGGAGCAUGUGGUUUAAUUCGAAGAUACGCGCAGAACCUUACCAACACUUGACAUGUUCGUCGCGACUCUAAGAGAUUAGAGUUUUCGGUUCGGCCGGACGAAACACAGGUGCUGCAUGGCUGUCGUCAGCUCGUGUCGUGAGAUGUUGGGUUAAGUCCCGCAACGAGCGCAACCCUCACUUUUAGUUGCCAUCAUUAAGUUGGGCACUCUGAAAGAACUGCCAGUGAUAAGCUGGAGGAAGGUGGGGAUGACGUCAAGUCCUCAUGGCCCUUACGUGUUGGGCUACACACGUGCUACAAUGGUAUCUACAACAGGAAGCAAGACUGCGAGGUCAAGCAAAUCCUUAAAAGAUACCUCAGUUCGGAUUGCACUCUGCAACUCGAGUGCAUGAAGCUGGAAUUACUAGUAAUCGUGGAUCAGCGUGCCACGGUGAAUGCGUUCCCGGGUCUUGUACACACCGCCCGUCACACCAUGGGAGUUGGUUCUACCUUAAGGCAAGGUUUAAAACCCUUGACCACGGU